CUGGUAGUACUCAACAUGUUUCUUUGAUUCAGGAAAACCACAAGUAGGAGGAGGAUUCAAUGUUUCAUACUCAUUCCACAUUUCUCUUAGUCGAUAAAAGUAAACAGAUACAGAGGAUACUCAUUGUGUUAAUGUAGCUAUUUUCUUAUGCAUGUAGACUGCCCUAGAAGCAUUACUUUGUCAAAUCUCUCCCUAAGAUCUUUUCAAACAGUAUAGGCAUCUGAUGCAUAGGUUACAGUACUUAGUAGAUUAGGAGAAACAGUAUCCAUAAUACACGCAAGCACUAUUGCAUUAAAUCUAUCCCAUAGUUCAUGAAGGCUAACAUCAUAGUUGCUCUUUUUGCAGGUGCU
rnacentral:lncRNA from 1 species